rnacentral:rRNA from 1 species
UACGGAGGGCGCAAGCCUUGUUCGGAAUCAUUGGGCGUAAAGCGCGUGUAGGCGGUCUGGUCAGUCGGGUGUGAAAUACCGGAGCUCAACUCCGGAACUGCAUUCGAUCCUGCCAGGCUAGAGUCCCGGAGAGGGUGGUGGAAUUCCCGGUGUAGAGGUGAAAUUCGUAGAUAUCGGGAGGAACACCAGCGGCGAAGGCGGCCACCUGGACGGUGACUGACGCUGAGACGCGAAAGCGUGUGGAGCAAACAGG